UGGGGAAUCUUCCGCAAUGGGCGAAAGCCUGACGGAGCAACGCCGCGUGAGUGAAGAAGGCCUUCGGGUCGUAAAACUCUGUCUUCAGGGAAGAAAAAAAUGACGGUACCUGAGGAGGAAGCCCCGGCUAACUACGUGCCAGCAGCCGCGGUAACACGUAGGGGGCGAGCGUUGUCCGGAAUUACUGGGCGUAAAGGGUGCGUAGGCGGUCUGUUAAGUCAGAUGUGAAAGACCUGGGCUCAACCCGGGAUGUGCAUCUGAGACUGGCGGACUUGAGUGCAGGAGAGGGAAGUGGAAUUUCUAGUGUAGCGGUGGAAUGCGUAGAUAUUAGGAAGAACACCAGUGGCGAAGGCGGCUUCCUGGACUGUAACUGACGCUGAGGCACGAAAGCGUGGGGAGCGAACAGG
rnacentral:rRNA from 1 species